AUGGACCUGCUCCGCCGCUAUUUCCUCCCAGCGGAUGUCGAUGUCAUCACCAGCAUCCGCACGUUGACUCGCUUCACCGAGGAUACUAUUGCAUGGGCACCGGAGAGGAACAAUAUCUUCACCGUUAGGUGUCCCCUGGCAAGAGAGCUAUGGCGAGUUAUGGCCUUGGACUGGAACAUCCCCAAGGUGGAGGCCAUCAUCAACACUAGCCCAGAGUGGAUCUUUUCACCGCUGGACCCCUUGGAUGAGACGGUGAGACUGGUGGUUCUCAUGACCAUGUGGAGAGUAUGGCAUGUCCAGAAUGAGAUCACACACGAGAAGGCGCCGCCCACUGCCGAAGCCUCUCGCCGCUUUUUGCACGGAUACCUCAACUCACUCCUGUGCAUACAACAACAUCUCGAUGGUAACCUAGAGAAAGGGAAGAUGAUGGUCCUGCCUUCACCACCACGCGCUCCAGAAAGUAUGACGCCCAAGGUGCGCGCACGCUGGGUACUCCCCCAACCGGGAUGGGUUAAGUUGAACACGGAUGGGAGCUACAUAGUGGCCACGGGUGCGGCGGGAGGAGGUAUGAUCCUGCGAGAUGACAGAGGCGAGAUCAUCUACAACGCAUGUAGGGAGCUACGCAUAUGCGAUAACGCUUUGGAGGCGGAGCUAGCAACGUGCAGAGAAGACUUGGAGCUAGCCUUGCACCGAUCCAACCUACCUAUUCUGGUAGAGUUGGAUAGCGCGGAGGCGGUGUCGAUGACUACACCACAUGAGAUGGAUAGAUCGUCACAUCGUGCACUUGUAGUGGAGAUUCGUAGGUUGGCUGGAAGCGAUGCUAGGGAGAUCUCUUUUACUAUUUGUAGCCGCCAGCAGAACAUGUUUAGUCAUGAGCUGGCCGCCUAUGGUCGUAGCACUCCGCACACAGCAGUUUGGCUUACUGCUGGGAUGGACUUUGUUGUAAACCUGGCUCUCGCCGAAAAAGCCUCCUUGAGUAUUGAGAAUUUCUUCCCCCUGCAAAAAAGUGGCGCACCGCCUGAGAAGGACGGCGGACUUUCAUCUGCGAGCACAUCGUCGUGGAACCUUAUCAUAUCUCCUUUGGAAGUUGUAUUGAUUUCAUUGUUGAGGAAUGACAACAUGGUUUUCAACCUGGAUUCAAGCCCCUUGGUGCUGGUGGGAUGCCGACAAGGUCGAACUUGCCCAUCAGUUUGUUCUCUAUUACCAUCUCAUGCUCGACUUGCAACCCUUCUAUAUCCAGUUGCGUCUGGCUGUCAGCAACGGUUAGUAUACAAAACUAUUUUCGGCAACAAAGAAAUGGCACAACAAGGCCCAAGGCAGAGGCAGACCGCACGCGCAAUCGGGGCAGCUAGCCAGAGCCACGAUGCACGCGCCGCCGCCGCCGCGUUGAUAGGCUGCCGCCGCCUUGUGCGCCGGCACCGCUACCUGCUGAUCCCGCUCCAUUGUCACGCACCUCUGCCGCUCUCCCGCCCAACCCGCGUCGCGCCGUCCCGCGGCCUGCUCCUGCAAUCCGGCCUCGCACCUGCCCCGGCGGCCCUGUCCCCGCGGCAGUCGCCGCACUGCAGGCUUGUUCCCCUUCUUCGGAUUAUUCUCGUCAGAACCAUGCUACUGGAGAUUUUUGGAUCUGGAUUGAGACAAACACGGAAUAAUGACCGGGUUCUAAGAUUGCUCUUUGGUGACCGAUCUGCUUAUGCAUCCUAUGUCCUGGCAAGCAACAUUGCACUAGAAGGAGUGAAUAACUGGGGCAGGCCAAAUUGGCUCCGCGUCCUCCCUUGUGCCAGUAACUAUUUCUGCACCUCCAUCUAUGCCACCAAAGGUAAACAAUUUGCCAUCACCAAGGGGAUGGAUAGAUCAGAGAUGAAGGGGCGAACGAAGCAAGUGGGAGGCCGGCCGUCUCUGUGCCUCCUCGACGCCGAGCUGCGGCUGCUCCGUGUGUGCGCGCUCUCUCUCUCUCUCUCUCUCAGCCUCCUGGGCAUCUGCACUUGUCUUUUCGCCAACGUGAUUUUCUCGCUGAAAUUGGAAAAAGCUAGUACCAACAUCGGCUUGAGAUGA
rnacentral:rRNA from 1 species